rnacentral:tRNA from 1 species
GCUGGCGUAGCUCAAUGGCAGAGCAGCUGAUUUGUAAUCAGCAGGUUAUCGGUUCAAGUCCGAUCGCCAGCUCCA